rnacentral:sRNA from 1 species
AGUACCAUUAUGAAGUUAUGUCUUUUCUAUCCUGCUUGACUUGCUCUUCCCAUUUUUCGAUCUGAUUCAAAUACAAUCAGUUCAAUUGUGUAUCCUGUUAAAAGAAUAAUAAUCAGUGAGACCAUCAUCAUCCGCCCCAAGAGUUGUUUUAGGCACAGCAGCGAUGCUUUGCUCCUGGGUUGAGGUAACUGGCUGAGCUGGGCUGGGACUGAGAUGACGGGCAUAUUUCGCCGCGCCAGUUCAAAAAAAAAAAAAAAAACCCCCAGUUCCUUGUCACCAGACUUCAUCGUAUUUUAUUGACCGGUUGAGUUUUUGAUGGGAAGCACUAAACGAACUGUUCCUGUGACCGCGCAGGGUAUUCUCCUCUUCGUUUGCUGCGUACGUGGUGGAAUAAUGGGUAGGUGGAGCUAGCUGGCUUUGAUGGAGUCGUUCGUCGGCGUUUGAUUUUUUGGAUUUGAAACAAAAUAAAAAAAAAUUUUUUUCCACA